AACGAACGCUGGCGGCAUGCCUAACACAUGCAAGUCGAACGAGACCUUCGGGUCUAGUGGCGCACGGGUGCGUAACGCGUGGGAACCUGCCCUUAGGUUCGGAAUAACUCCCCGAAAGGGGUGCUAAUACCGGAUAAUGUCUUCGGACCAAAGAUUUAUCGCCUUUGGAUGGGCCCGCGUUGGAUUAGCUAGUUGGUAGGGUAAAAGCCUACCAAGGCGACGAUCCAUAGCUGGUCUGAGAGGAUGAUCAGCCACACUGGGACUGAGACACGGCCCAGACUCCUACGGGGGGCAGCAGUGGGGGAUAUUAGACAAUCGGCCAAAGCCUGAUCCAGCAAUGCCGCGUGAGUGAUGAAGGCCUUAGGGUUGUAAAGCUCUUUUACCCGGGAUGAUAAUGACAGUACCGGGAGAAUAAGCUCCGGCUAACUCCGUG
rnacentral:rRNA from 1 species